rnacentral:tRNA from 2 species
GGCACUUUGGCGGAGUGGUUAACGCGCAGGCCUGCUAAGCCUGUUCCUUCGGGAGCCUGGGUUCGAAUCCCAGAGGUGUCG